UCGGAAGGCGGAGUGGGUCGGGCCUAAUGGGCAGGAAGUGACGUGUUUGGGCUGCGCCAGGCGCAGAGUGCCGGCUCGUCUUACGUCAGUUCCGCCUUGUGGUGGGAGCGGCGAGUAGCUCGCUAGUGUUGGGGCGUAGACUCGCGAGCCUUUCCGGCCAGCAGCGAUGGGGAAGGGGUUUAGUACCGAGAGCGGGUCGGGCGUGACGACGCGACUUCACUCCCAGCCCGGGGAGGCAAGAGGCAGGCGGAUGUGAAUCUGAGGCCAGUCUGGUCCGCCUAGCGAGUGCCAGGCCAGGCCAGGCAGGGCUGCCUGAAGACCCUAAUGUCUGGUAGAUUCUUUCAUGAAGCAGGAACCACAAAGGAUCAUCUAACCUUCAGGCAAGUUUCUCAGAAUCAUUCGUUCCCUUCCCAUGGGUCUCAAGAGUCCACCACAUUCAGACAGGAGUUUCCCAGUCUCCAGGAGCCAGCCCUUCACUUGAGCCUCCUCUUGUUAGAAGUCCAGUCUGUUCUCUUGUGGAACUCCUGGUGCUGCUUUCUCCGAAGCCCUGACCUCAUAGCAUCCACAUUCAGCUGCAUAGGGAGAAUCGCUUUCCGUGGCUGAAUGAGGAUGACUUUAAACUUCUGGUCCUCCCGCCUGCAUCUGCCUAGCCCCAGGACAGGCAUCACUGUGGCCCAUUCCGUGUGAUGCCAGCUGGUGACAGAGCCCAGGGCCCCAUGCGUGCUACGCCACCACCAGCUGAGCUGCAUUUCCAGCCUGACCAUGCAUCUUAAGUUCUUUGCUCAAUGCCAUGUGGCAACCCCAGACCUUGAACUUGGAUUACUGCCACCUCACAAAGACCUAUGCGAUGCUGGAGGUCAGGGAGUGGAAAGUGAAGCCGCCCGCUUGCAGGGAUCUUGGCAGACUUGGUAGUGUAAAGGCAGCUCUGGGAAGUAGGGCUCUACGGGAAAUACCGUGCUAGCAGCAAAGAUGGACCAGUAGGAAAGGCAGAACGCAGAGGAAAGACAAACCUCCAGGAGGAAGCUGGUUUCCGUGCACGUGUCUCCCAGCUUCUGUUCUAUCUCUUCUGUGUGUUGUCUCACUGUUAUGGGCAAAUAGAGAUACACUAAGAAUCCCUCCCCCCAGUUUUAACCCCCAAAUUCCCACUUCUGUACGCAUUUUGUCAUUUUCUCUUAGAGAAGGCAAACACUCAGACCCGUAGUCAAGCUCACAGCAGAGGAGUCUGGCAAAGAAAGAAUGGGAAACUAUGUUUGUACGACCAGGGGUUGGCAAACUGUGGCU